UGUAAGGGAUGCAUUGUGUGAAUCUGUGUUUGUAUGCAUAAGGGAUGCAAGGUGUGUGUCUGUAUGUGUGUGCAUUGAGUGUAAGAGAUGCAUUGUGUUUCUGUGUGUAUGUAAGAAAAGAAGUGUGUGUGUUUGCAUGUGUGUGUACGGGUUUGCAUUGUCUGUUUCUGUGUAUGUGUGCAAAGGAUACAUUGUCUUUGUGUGUAAGGGUUGCAUUGUGUGUGUGUGUGUAAUGGAUGCAUUGUGUGUUUCUCUGUGUGUA